rnacentral:rRNA from 1 species
AGUCGAGGGGUAACAGAGAAGCUUGCUUCUGCUGACGACCGGCGCACGGGUGCGUAACGCGUAUGCAACCUACCUUAUACAGGAGAAUACCCCUUGGAAACGAGGAAUAAUGCUCCAUAGUAUCAUCACUUCGCAUGUUGAGAUGAUUAAAGAAUUUCGGUAUAAGAUGGGCAUGCGUCCCAUUAGCUUGUUGGUGAGGUAACGGCUCACCAAGGCUACGAUGGGUAGGGGGCCUGAGAGGGUGGUCCCCCACACUGGUACUGAGACACGGACCAGACUCCUACGGGAGGCAGCAGUGAGGAAUAUUGGUCAAUGGAGGCAACUCUGAACCAGCCAUGCCGCGUGAAGGAUGACGGCCUUAUGGGUUGUAAACUUCUUUUGAAUAGGAAGAAACUUAUCUACGUGUAGAUAACUGACGGUACUAUUAGAAUAAGGAUCGGCUAACUCCGUGCCAGCAGCCGCGGUAAUACGGAGGAUCCAAGCGUUAUCCGGAUUCAUUGGGUUUAAAGGGUCCGUAGGCGGGUCUUUAAGUCAGUGGUGAAAGCCGACAGCUCAACUGUCGAACUGCCAUUGAUACUGGAGACCUUGAGUACAAAUGAAGUAGGCGGAAUGAGUCAUGUAGCGGUGAAAUGCAUAGAUAUGACUCAGAACACCGAUUGCGAAGGCAGCUUACUAACAUGUAACUGACGCUGAGGGACGAAAGCGUGGGGAGCGAACAGGAUUAGAUACCCUGGUAGAAGGGC